GAAAUGCGAUACGUAGUGUGAAUUGCAGAGUACUGGAAUCAUCAAAUCUUUGAACGCAUAUUGCGCUGAAGGCUUCGGCCGACAGCAUGUCUGCCUCAGCGUCGGGUUAAUAUCAUCACCCCAAUCCAUGUGAUUGGUCAUGUGAUGGACCUGGCCAUUCCAGUUAGGCCGUGCCCACUGACAGUCAGAAGCUCUUUUGCUUCUUUCUGUGUGCGGACACAUCAUGGCUCCUGGAUUGGCUGAAGAACAGAAGCCAGCCAAGGACCCGCUAAAGGGCCGCAAUUGGGUAGGCGUGAAAGCGCAAACACUUGAUUGUUGGUCUGGGACCCGGUUCGGCUCCAACCCCAGGAACCUUAACCCCUUAUUUUCUCGACCUGAGCUCAGGCAAGAACACCCGCUG
rnacentral:misc_RNA from 1 species